rnacentral:rRNA from 1 species
CACGGAGGGGGCGAGCGUUAUUCGGAAUUAUUGGGCGUAAAGGGCGCGUAGGCGGCUGUACAAGUCAAAGGUGAAAUCCCUCGGCUCAACUGAGGAACUGCCUUUGAAACUGUACGGCUUGAGGCCGGGAGGGGGUAGCGGAAUUCCCAGUGUAGCGGUGAAAUGCGUAGAUACUGGGAGGAACACCAGUGGCGAAGGCGGCUACCUGGACCGGUUCUGACGCUGAGGCGCGAAAGCGUGGGUAGCAAACAGG